rnacentral:lncRNA from 1 species
GCGUGCGCGCACACACAUGCACACCCACAGCCAUGUUUCUUCGCUCCCCAGAUGUGACAAAUCUUGAUCUACACAAAUGACACCAAGUAGGAAAAGAGAAGGACAUCUUGACAUAGAAACUGCCUUCUGUCCUAUCUGAGAACUUCAUCAUGAAAUGUAAAACUUGUCAUUUAUUAGCCAUUUUUAACGUGCAGGAUGUUAUAAAAAUGCAAAAUAUGGUCUUCUCCAAAAAAGAGAACAAAUAGUAAACAGAAAUAAAGAUAUGUAGGAAGAGAUAGGUACAUUUCCAUCCAUGCAAUUUUUCUUUAAUCUCCCGGGUAACAGUUUUAUGAACUAUUUCUGGGGGUGGGAUUCCUCCCUAUAGUAGUUGUCUGUUACUGCAUAACACAUUACCCCCAAACUUGGUGACAUAAACAACAAACAUUUAUUAGCUCAGUUUUGAGGGUCAGGAAUUCGGAAGUGCCUUAGCUGCGUGGUUUUCACUCAAGGUCUCUCAUGAAGUUGCAAACAAGAUGCAGGCGGGGCCGCUGGCGGAGGCCGGUGGUGGCUGAUGGCUUGACUGGAGCUGAGGAUCCACUUCUAAGCUCAGUCGCGUGGUUGCUGGCAGGAGCCUCAGUUCUUCUCUGAUUCUUGGCCAGAACAACAGUUCCUUGCCACCUGGGCGCCUCCACAGGGCUGCUUGAGUAGCCUCAGAACAUGUCAGGUGGCUUCCUGCAGGGAGACUCACUAUUGCGAGGUGAUUGUUUGUCAUCAAAAGAUGCUUCCUCUUCUGGGAACUCCCAAGUGAAAAAGAACUGGCGCUGCGGUCCAGAGUCUCCUGACGCCUCCAGCUGCGGCUGAGGAACUUCCCGUCUCUACAGGGGCACACGGGUCAGUCCGCUCUGGCCUGUGGUGAUCUUCGUUAUUCCCUAUUUUCUCACAUUCAGAACCACUGGGGAGAAAAUUGUCCACAGACAGGUGAGUGAGCCGCAGGUGACGGAGAGAGAGACGGAAUCAAGCUGAGUCACGAGCUCUGAGAAACAAGGCACCUCAUCAGCUCAUUUCUAAGACUCUCCGCACAUGGUCUGCGAUCAGAAAAUACACGGUUUUCAUGGAUUUCAAAACCUCAAAAGACAGCGUGGCCAUAUGCUCCCCCUUCCCUACCUAAAACCCUUCCUUUUAGCUUUUCGGGGAGUUUGGGAUUUCAGCGUUAGCUGCCCUCUCUCCUUGCUCAGCGCUGUGCAAAAAUAAAAUUCCUACUUUCUUCCACCACACCCAGUGUCAGAGAUUGGCUUGCUGCGCAACGG